GAGGAAGGCAGUAGCGUUUUUGACUGUUCCUGCUAUAAACCGCAAUCGCAAACAUACUGAUUGCACGCACAUGUGUGUCGUCUAUCCCCAUAGUAUAAUAAAACAUUUAAGAACUGACCAAUCUUUUAAAAGUAGAAGUGACAGAUCACAUCACAUUAAUCCUUUCAAAUUUAGAGUCAGGAAAUUUCAAAAUGGUUUCACAAUUUCCUUUAGACCCAAUGCACCUUGUAGAUAUUGGUGAAUGUAAAAAGUUGCUUCAAUUGUUGAUUAAAAAAGGCAAUAUAAACGUAAGCAAAGUUAACGAAAAAAUUACAUUUAUUUCCAAUUUAGUUCCCUCAGAGUUCGGUCGAAUAUGUAGAAGUGUAGAUGAAAUCAGCAAUUGGAAAGCGACAGAGUUUACGCAGUUCUUAUUGUAUAUAGGUAUAUUUGUCCUAAAGGAUUGCAUUGGUGAUGACCAUUACUACCAUUUCCUCUUAUUGCACACAGGUAUAAGGCUACUAUCAUGCAAGAAGUCUUAUAGCACUUAUAGCACUGAAGCUAGUUACAAUAUACAUGGUUUACUCCAUUUAACUGACUGUACCAAGCAAUAUGGUCCUCUAGACAACUUUUCCGCUUACAAGUUUGAAAAUCACAUGCAAUAUUUAAAACAAGUUAUAAAUAAGCCCAAUAAAAUCCUGCAGCAAUUACAUUUAAGGCUAGAAGAAAGAAGAUAUAAUUUAUAAAUAUUUUUCUAUUCUACAUGAGAGCAAGUUUCUUUUAAUUCCGAUUUUACAUCAUCUAUUUCAUGAAUUUUCAAAUUAGAAUUUUUCACUGUAAUUAUUGUAUUGUCCCGAUGGUAUUUUAUUAUAUUAUUAUUAAGUUAUUUAAAAUGAAUUUUGAUGCUGCCAAAGUUUUAUUUCUUAAUGAGAUGGAUUCACCAUCACCAUUUGAUGACACCUAUUUGGAGCAAUGCCCAACAACGUCGACUCCCGUAAAAGAACAAUUGACAUUUAAACGGAAGAAAUUCAAUAUUUCUGGUUGCUACAACUCAGAGGCAAGCUUCUCAAAGCAACAAUUAAACAAUUUGCCUGAGGAUGGAAAUGAGUUGAAAAUAUGGAAAGGAAGAUGGACAGCUUUUUGAAAAAAAAUAAAAUUCAUAAAAGCGAAGAAAUGGUACAACAAAAAACCGUCCGCGAAUGUAAGGUGCUAAUGUGGUGCUAAGUGGCGAAAAUAUCGACAACACACAAACAGAAAUUGCUUCCACCUAAUACAUACAUAUUUACAUUGAUUUUUCAUUACAUUUUUUAUAGAUUCUCUCAUUACCUGUGGACUUGCGAAUUUCGAGCAACAAAUGCGGAAGUCCAUCGAAAUGAGCCACCAUAGAUUUAAGCAAAAAAAAAUAAAGGAAGCGAAAA
rnacentral:misc_RNA from 1 species